AAGACACUAAAGACGCUGUCACUUUUCCGCGUGUUUCUCUCACCGUGCAUUACUGACAGCAUAGUUGUCAAACGCACGGUUUUUCUGUUCAAGCUGCGAUUGUUGACGCUCGUCAGCGGUUAUCCAGUUUCGCUUCGCACCGACGGCUUUUUCACUGAGUGAGAUCGUGUCUAGAACCACCAAUAAUUGGAGCCAUUUGAAUGUUCCGCCAAGUGUAAUUCGUGUACGGACGUGGACGGAUUUGGCGCUUACCAAGGGUGCAGCAAAUGACCAUGUAUCAGUGCGACUUUGCUCGAAAAGAAUCCAGGUGCAACAGAAGAGGCAAAGUCGACAGAGAGCAGAAAGUUUUCCAGUGGCCGUACGAGGGAUGUCCCAAACUUUACAACUACACGCGUAAUAUGAUGACCCAUCCACGGCUGGCUGGAUUUAGGUGGGAGGGUCGUGGCCCCGGGCUCCAUCCAACCCUGGGCCCAUGUCAAAUGAAAUCAGGAAGGAGUCCGGAUCUACGUCUGCAAAGUGGAGAGCUGUGGCCGACUGUUUAUCCAUUAGAAAAUGGACCAGCGAAUGCACGAGUCGGCUGCUAGGACUGUUCCGCGGAUGAUGCUGCCAGCAGAAACGCUCAACCGGUUGGUAAACGUCCGGGUGGCGGCCACUGCUCGAGCUGGAGGGUUCGUUUGCGAUGGACUCGGCUUCCGAGUCGGAAGUGGAAUUCAGUGCCAUGGUAGCAACGGUUCUGCACAGACCGGAACAGACCGUUAAGAGUUUAUUUUGUCUUUAUUUGAGAGCCUUUUAGCCCAAGGCUGGCUCGUCUCUAGGACCGAUCAGAGUUAAAUCUGUUUCGGAUCAUUUGUAUUAAGGAAAAAUAAUAAUUGUUUCUUUUAACCCUUUUCGAGUUUAAGUUCUAUUCUAUUGACUGCAUUAAAGUAAGAAAGUGUUUAUUUCAUUAUUGGGGGAAUGCUUCUCUAAUUUUCCGGUCAAUUUCACCAAAUAGUGCAUGUACUCCUGUAUAUGCACGAUUGUGAUGCAAAUUGUGCACGUAUUACCUGGCAAUAUAAAUGUAUUGAUUGUA